UGGGGAAUCUUGGACAAUGGGGGCAACCCUGAUCCAGCCAUGCCGCGUGAGUGAUGAAGGCCUUAGGGUUGUAAAGCUCUUUCACCGGUGAAGAUAAUGACGGUAGCCGGAGAAGAAACCCCGGCUAACUCCGUGCCAGCAGCCGCGGUAAUACGGAGGGGGUUAGCGUUGUUCGGAAUUACUGGGCGUAAAGCGCACGUAGGCGGACCAGAAAGUUGGGGGUGAAAUCCCGGGGGCUCAACCCCGGAACUGCCUCCAAAACUAUUGGUCUAGAGUUCGAGAGAGGUGAGUGGAAUUCCAAGUGUAGAGGUGAAAUUCGUAGAUAUUUGGAGGAACACCAGUGGCGAAGGCGGCUCACUGGCUCGAUACUGACGCUGAGGUGCGAAAGUGUGGGGAGCAAACAGGAUUAGAUACCCUGGGUAGUCCACACCGUAAAACGAUGAAUGCCAGUCGUCGGGUAGCAUGCUAUUCGGUGACACACCUAACGGAUUAAGCAUUCCGGCCUGGGGAGUACGG
rnacentral:rRNA from 1 species